CCUACGGGUGGCAGCAGUGGGGAAUAUUGCACAAUGGGCGAAAGCCUGAUGCAGCGACGCCGCGUGAGCGAAGAAGGCCUUCGGAUCGUAAAACUCUGUUGUUAGGGAAGAACAAGUGCCGUUCAAAUAGGGCGGCACCUUGACGGUACCUAACCAGAAAGCCCCGGCUAACUACGUGCCAGCAGCCGCGGUAAUACGUAGGGGGCAAGCGUUGUCCGGAAUUAUUGGGCGUAAAGCGCGCGCAGGCGGGCUUUUAAGUCUGAUGUGAAAGCCCACGGCUUAACCGUGGAGGGCCAUUGGAAACUGGAGGACUUGAGUACAGAAGAGGAGAGUGGAAUUCCACGUGUAGCGGUGAAAUGCGUAGAGAUGUGGAGGAACACCAGUGGCGAAGGCGACUCUCUGGUCUGUAACUGACGCUGAGGUGCGAAAGCGUGGGUAGCGAACAGGAUUAGAUACCCGAGUAGUC
rnacentral:rRNA from 1 species